rnacentral:rRNA from 1 species
UACGGAAGGCAGCAGUGGGGAAUAUUGCACAAUGGGCGCAAGCCUGAUGCAGCCAUGCCGCGUGUAUGAAAAAGGCCUUCGGGUUGUAAAGUACUUUCAGUCGUGAGGAAGGUGUUAAGGUUAAUAACCUUAGCAAUUGACGUUAGCGACAGAAGAAGCACCGGCUAACUCCGUGCCAGCAGCCGCGGUAAUACGGAGGGUGCGAGCGUUAAUCGGAAUUACUGGGCGUAAAGGGCACGCAGGCGGUUAAUUAAGUUGGAUGUGAAAUCCCCGGGCUUAACCUGGGAAUGGCAUUCAAGACUGGUUAGCUAGAGUCUUGUAGAGGGGGUAGAAUUCCAUGUGUAGCGGUGAAAUGCGUAGAGAUGUGGAGGAAUACCGGUGGCGAAGGCGGCCCCUGGGACAAAGGACUGACGCUCAUGUGCGAAAGCGUGGGGAGCGAAACAGGGAUUAAGUACC